rnacentral:snRNA from 1 species
AUACUUAAUGUAGCAGAGGAAAGACCAUAAUCAAGAAGGUGAUUUUCCUGUAGUGAGACUUAUCCAUUGCACUUGGCAUUUGUUGACCCCGAUGAUUUCCCCAAAUGUCAACUGCAUAAUUUGUGGUAGUGGGAGACUGCGUGUGUGCUCUCCCCUG